ensembl:lncRNA BACE1-AS BACE1 antisense RNA
CUUUUCUUUUUUUUUUUUUUUUUUUUUUUUUUGAGAUGGAGUAUUAGCUCUGUCACCCAGGCUGGAGUACAGUGGCGUGAUCUCGGCUCACUCUAACCUCUGCCUCCUGGAUUCAAACCAUUCUUUUGCCUCAGCCUCCCAAGUAGCUGGGACUACAGGUGCCUGCCACCACGCCUGGCUAUUUUUAGUAGAGAUGGGGUUUCACCAUGUUGACCAGGCUGGUCUCGAAUUUCUGACCUCAAAUGAUCUGCCCCCGCCUUGGCCUCCCAGAGUGCUGGGAUUACAGCCACGCCCGGCCGCUUUUAACUUUUCUUAGUACAUUUAUAUCUAUUCUAAUUUAACAUACAUAAGAAUCUAGGGAAGGAAGACAUAAAUGAUUUAGUUACCUUUUAUUGAGUACUGCCAACCACAGAGAUAAACACUUUACACAUUAUCUCUGAUAUUCUGAGAAAGUUGUUUUUACCUGUUUUGCAGAUAAGGAAACUGAGACACAGAAUAGUAACUGGCCUAAGGGUACAUAGCUAGUACAAAUCAGAGCUAGAUUCAGAUCUGGGUCUUCCUGACUCCAAAGACAAGACUCUUCAUUCUAUCACCCUGUCUCACAAAAGACUUGCCCAAGGCUACGAAGCAAGGCAGUGACUAGAGUCCAGACAUCAGAACUAGUUCCAUGUUUUUUUUUUCACUACCAGUCCCUAGGCCCCAAACCGCAGAUCCUGCUGUGUGACCAUUAAGCCCCUGACUGUUCUAGGCUCAACUUCCAACCCUUUCUGCAGGUCCUAUUACCUCUGCCUCAUCCUCCCAACAUGAUAACCAGAGUCUUCCUUCACAUUGUACUGCCUACCCCCUUAUGUUCCCAGGCUCUCCCUUGGUUUUCUUACCUCCUUGCAGUCCAUUUUCAGAUCCUGUCCAUUGAUCUCCACCCGCACAAUGAUCACCUCAUAAUACCACUCCCGCCGGAUGGGUGUAUACCAGAGACUGCCUGUGUACAGCGAGUGGUCGAUACCUCCAAUGAUCUAGGGAAAAAAAGAGGCAGGUACCCGUGUCCUGGCACAGAAGGAGAGUGAGUCCCCCAAGGACCAAGCAAUAAGAUCAGUGAUUUCUUGGGGUGGCAAGGUCUUCUACAGGCUACCCUUUUCAUCUUCCUGCUUCUAAACAAAUCAUACCCAAAGUGAUUUCUAGUUUCUUAAAUGUGUUCAGGAGAAAAGACUUUCCGGGAUUUUUAAUUAUUUGUUUCAGAAUCAUACAGCCCUUGAUAUAAAGUUAUUUAAAUCUAAACUGCCACAAUAAAUGUUGAAUGAAUGGUUAUUUGUUUAUAUUAUAAGUUUUAUUUUCUCUGCUUAUUGGAGAACCAUUCACCAUUGUUCUAAUUAAUUAAUAAAUAGACAAACUUCUUAUAUCUCUGC